rnacentral:rRNA from 1 species
GAUCCUGGCUCAGGAUGAACGCUAGCUACAGGCUUAACACAUGCAAGUCGAGGGGCAGCAUGGACUCAGCUUUGCUGGGUUUGAUGGCGACCGGCGCACGGGUGAGUAACGCGUAUCCAACCUGUCCUUUACUCCGGGAUAGUCUCCUGAAAGGGAGUUUAAUACCGGAUGUGUUUGUCUUUCCGCAUGGGAGCGACAAAUAAAGAUUGAUUGGUAAAGGAUGGGGAUGCGUCCCAUUAG